rnacentral:rRNA from 1 species
UACGGGGGGGGCAAGCGUUGUUCGGAAUUACUGGGCGUAAAGGGCCAGUAGGCGGCCAACUAAGUCAGACGUGAGAUCCCUCGGCUUAACCGGGGAACUGCGUCUGAUACUGGAUGGCUUGAGUUUGGGAGAGGGAUGCGGAAUUCCAGGUGUAGCGGUGAAAUGCGUAGAUAUCUGGAGGAACACCGGUGGCGAAGGCGGCAUCCUGGACCAACACUGACGCUGAGUGAGCGAAAGCCAGGGGAGCAAACGGG